UGCAGUCGAACGGUAACGCGGGGCAACCUGGCGACGAGUGGCGAACGGGUGAGUAAUGUAUCGGAACGUGCCCAGUAGUGGGGGAUAGCCCGGCGAAAGCCGGAUUAAUACCGCAUACGACCUACGGGUGAAAGGGGGGGAUCGCAAGACCUCUCGCUAUUGGAGCGGCCGAUAUCAGAUUAGGUAGUUGGUGGGGUAAAGGCCUACCAAGCCGACGAUCUGUAGCUGGUCUGAGAGGACGACCAGCCACACUGGGACUGAGACACGGCCCAGACUCCUACGGGAGGCAGCAGUGGGGAAUUUUGGACAAUGGGCGCAAGCCUGAUCCAGCCAUGCCGCGUGCGGGAAGAAGGCCUUCGGGUUGUAAACCGCUUUUGUCAGGGAAGAAAUCUUUCGGGUUAAUACCCUGGAGGGAUGACGGUACCUGAAGAAUAAGCACCGGCUAACUACGUGCCAGCAGCCGCGGUAAUACGUAGGGUGCAAGCGUUAAUCGGAAUUACUGGGCGUAAAGCGUGCGCAGGCGGUUGUGUAAGACAGAUGUGAAAUCCCCGGGCUCAACCUGGGAACUGCAUUUGUGACUGCACAGCUGGAGUGCGGCAGA
rnacentral:rRNA from 1 species